CAGCCGCCACGGGAAUACGUAGGGGGCAAGCGUUAUCCGGAAUAACUGGGCGUAAAGGGUGCGCAGGUGGUUUAACAAGUUAGUGGUGAAAGGCAUAGGCUCAACCAAUGUAAGCCAUUAAAACUGUUUAACUUGAGUGCAGGAGAGGAAAGUGGAAUUCCUAGUGUAGCGGUGAAAUGCGUAGAUAUUAGGAGGAAUACCAGUGGCGAAGGCGACUUUCUGGACUGCAACUGACACUGAGGCACGAAAGCGUGGGGAGCAAACAGGAUUAGAUACCCCGGUAGUCCCUGUCUCUUAUACC
rnacentral:rRNA from 1 species